GGAUCUAAAUGAUGCAAAACUUUGAAACAAACUUAGGACACCUUCUGACAUGGUGCUUGUGCUAUGAAUGAGAAGGCAAUUCUUUCCUGAUGGUACU
rnacentral:snoRNA from 1 species